rnacentral:rRNA from 1 species
CUACGUGCCAGCAGCCGCGGUAAUACGGAAGGUCCAGGCGUUAUCCGGAUUUAUUGGGUUUAAAGGGAGUGUAGGCGGUUUGUUAAGCGUGUUGUGAAAUUUAGGUGCUCAACAUUUAACUUGCAGCGCGAACUGUCAGACUUGAGUACACGCAACGUAUGCGGAAUUCAUGGUGUAGCGGUGAAAUGCUUAGAUAUCAUGAAGAACUCCGAUUGCGAAGGCAGCAUACGGGAGUGUAACUGACGCUUAAGCUCGAAGGUGCGGGUAUCGAACAGGAUUAGAUACCCUGGUAGUCCGCACAGUAAACGAUGGAUGCCCGCUGUUAGCGCCUGGCGUUAGCGGCUAAGCGAAAGCAUUAAGCAUCCCACCUGGGGAGUACGCCGGCAACGGUGAAACUCAAAGGAAUUGACGGGGGCCCGCACAAGCGGAGGAACAUGUGGUUUAAUUCGACGCAACGCGAAGAACCUUACCAGGUCUUGACAU